ensembl:lncRNA
GGGUUCCUAGAGAUCAGGGCCCCUGGGCAUAUGAUAUCUGAGUGAGGGGCCCAUGGGGUUCCUAGAGAUCAGGGCCCCUGGGCAUAUGAUAUCUGAGUGAGGGGCCCAUGGGGUUCCUAGAGAUCAGGGCCCCUGGGCAUGUGAUAUCUGAGUGAGGGGCCCAUGAGAUCAGGGCCCCUGGGAAUGUGAUAUCUGAGGGAGAGACCCAUGGGGUUCCUAUGCCCAUGAUGAUUAACACAAGGUUUAGAUAGCUUCCUCGACUAACUCACCUAGCGAUCUAUAAAUGUUUUAGCUGACACGGCUAAUUGAGUGACUGUCAGUGGCUGACAGAAGGAGAGAAACAAACUGCUGAUGCACCACAGCAUUUAGAAACAGCACCUUGGCGUAUUCUACUAAUCUAACUCUCAACAGUAAAUGGAGAGCCCCUGACUGACCUCCUGAAAAACAUGAGGGUUUAAGGGCCCUAAUAGGCUGUUUAGAAAGAUGUUUAUCUGCUUCUGUACGCUGUUAUUACAUCUGCCAGCCCUCUAUAACUUCCCUUAUAGAUUAUUGAAUUGAUUAGUCUCUCUGUCUCUCUCCCUCUCUCUCUCCCUGUCUCUCUCUGUCUCUCUGUCUGUCUCUGUCUGUCUGUCUGUCUCUCUCUGUCUGUCUGUCUGUCUGUCUCUGUGUCUCUCUGUCUCUAUCUGUGUCUCUCUGUGUCUCUCUGUCUCUCUGUGUCUCUCUCUGUCUCUCUCUCUCUCUCUGUCUCUCUCUCUCUCUGUCUCUCUGUCUCUGUCUCUCUCUCUCUCUGUCUCUCUGUGUCUCUCUCUCUCUGUGUCUCUCUCUCUCUCUCUCUCUCUCUCUCUCUCUCUCUCUCUCUCUCUCUGUCUCUCUCUCUCUCUCUGUCUCUCUCUGUCUCUCUCUCUCUCUCUCUCUCUGUCUCUCUGUCUCUCUGUCUCUCUCUCUCUCUCUGUCUCUCUCUCUCUCUCUCUCUCUCUCUCUCUCUCUCUCUCUCUCUGUCUCUCUCUCUCUCUCUCUCUCUCUCUCUCUCUCUCUCUGUCUCUCUCUCUCUCUCUCUCUCUCUCUGUCUCUCUCUCUCUCUCUGUCUCUCUCUCUGGGAACCUUGGAUUAUAUUUGGGUUGGAGGAUACUGGUGCCAUGGUAACAAGGUUUGUGAUGCGGACCUUCACGGCACAAGAUAAGCUAACGCCCCCCUGUAAACAGUCAAGCGGUGGCUAUAAGACGGGGGUAUGUGACAAUAUAAACAUAACCCCCUGUAAACAUACAACGGCAUAUCAUGCUAUAACAAAAACGCUAGCUAACCACCGCUAACUACAGCAAGCUAACUACAGCUACCUACCGCUAGCUAACUACAGUUAACUACCGCUAGCUAACUACCGCUAGCUAACUACAGCUACCUACCGCUAGCUAACUACUGCUAGCUUACUACCGCUAGUUAACUACUGCUAACUACCGCUAGCUAACUACAGCUAACUACCGCUAGCUAACUACCGCUAGCUAACUACAGCUAACUACCGCUAGCUAACUACAGCUAACUACCGCCAGCUAACUACCGCCAGCUAACUACCACCAGCUAACUACAGCUAGCUAACUACCGCUAGCUAACUACAGCUAACUACCGCCAGCUAACUACUGCCAGCUAACUACCACCAGCUAACUACAGCUAACUACCACCAGCUAACUACCGCUAGCUAACUACUGCUAGCUAACUACCGCUAGCUAACUACCGCUAACUACCGCCAGCUAACUACCGCCAGCUAACUACCACCAGCUAACUACAGCUAACUACCGCUAGCUAACUACAGCUAUCUACCGCUAGCUAACUACAGCUAUCUACCGCUAGCUAACUACAGCUAUCUACCGCUAGCUAACUACAGCUAUCUACCGCUAGCUAACUACAGCUAUCUACCGCUAGCUAACUACAGCUAUCUACCGCUAGCUAACUACAGCUAUCUACCGCUAGCUAACUACAGCUAUCUACCGCAAGUUAACUGCCAAAAUAGGAAUAAUAACUAACUAUCGUACUUAUGGUAACUACCACCCCUAUUGGAAUCUGGCUACCUAUAAAUGCAGUCUCACUUUAAAGGAUUAUAAUCUCAUGCAUAAGAAGAAUUGACUAUUGGUUGCAGACUUUCCCGGAAUUCCAAAGGGUUUUUUUCUCCCAGAAAGUUACUGGAAAUGUUGUAACGACUAGAUUUGACCAAUCACACAGAUUCACUGAGGCCUGGAAUAUAGGCUAGAGAACAUGGGAAUGAUUCUAAAACACAUCAGAUCAGAUUUAAACCAAAUCAAAUGAUUCCUAAAACACAUCAGAUCAGAUUUAAACCAAAUCAAAUGAUUCCUAAAACACAUCAGAUCAGAUUUAAACCAAAUCAAAUGGUUCCUAAAACACAUCAGAUCAGAUUUAAACCAAAUCAAAUGAUUCCUAAAACACAUCAGAUCAGAUUUAAACCAAAUCAAAUGAUUCCUAA